GCUGUCUGUUACUGAGGCGCCCCGUUCCCUGGAGGGCCUAGAUUCGUUAAAUAAAACGUGAGUCCGUGGAAGCUUCUCCGCAGCUGUCCGCCUCGUGAGAGGGGUUGUGGAAAACAAGGAUCUGUCCCCGUGCCUGAGAUGUGCCCUGAGACAUGGAAGGAGCUGCCUGCGGUGUGCUUAAAAAAAGACUGAGGAAAACCAAGGUGUCUGUGGCUGACAGGCAAAACUGUGCUGUCAGCACCGCGGCUUUGAUGCCAACACGACGGGUGUCACCCCCCGCACCUUUUGGCAGUGUGUAGCGGGCGGUAAUGAGUGCUCGGUAUAAGAAAUCGUUAAAUGUUGAGCUGUCUUGGAGUGGGAAGGGGAAAAUGAGGCCACAGAUACCGCACCUUGGCCUCAUUAACAAGAGAUCUGUCGUGGCUAAGGCGUUUCUGAUCUGUUUGAAAUUAUUCCUGCUCCACCAGGGUGUCUUUUUUGUGAUUAUUAAAUGGCCGCUCUGCACGGGUUUGGUGUGUUGGCAUUAAGCAGGAGAUGGAGGAUCCAGUUUUCCUUCCCAGGUUCCUGGGAGGAGCAGUGUUAGUCUCAGCGGUGAGCUCUGCACACGCCAUUGCUGGGACACCUCACCUCAAAUCCACCCCAGCCUACUUCAGGUGCUGUACAAAGAACCUUUCACUUCUCUGUGGCAGUGGCUGUGCUAAUCUGGGUACAUCACAGUUCUGCUGGCAUGCUCACCUCAUCCCUCGCUGUUCUGUCCUGGCCCCAUGCAGGUUGGAUGAUGCUGGGGCUGACCUUUAGCUGCAGGUUUUGCAGGUCGCUGUAGCUGCCUUUUCGGAAGGUGCAGUAGUUCCUCAGCGUGUCCCUCUUCUGACAGCAGGGGAAGAAAUAGCCUUGGUAUCACACCAGGAGGCAGAAGUUAGGUUAUGUGUUGAUACUAGCAAGGUGAUUGCUCUGGAUGCUUUUGUACAUAAGAGCUGGAUGGUUAAGUAGGGACAGCAGUUCUAGGCAAUAGCAGGGUGAAUACCUGGAAUAACACAGGAGACUGGAUGAACAAGUGGAUUAGGAUGGUCACACCACACUUGCAUUUCUUGCCUACCCUUGAGCUAACAUUUUUCAUGCUUCCAACAGCCACAACCCAAUGGGGGCUGCUGGGUGUCCAAAACAAAACAAACACGUCUCCUUCAUCCCGUUGCACAGCCCUGAGCCAGCUAUGUGACUAGGAGGUCUGCAAGGCAUCCCCUCCAACUGGCCCAUGUCUAAUGGAGAGCUCCUUGGUGUUCUAUGAAGUGCAAUGGCACAGUCAGAUGUGCUGCACUGCCUUGAGAUGCCAGGCUACCAGCCCCACUAGCAGU
ensembl:lncRNA